rnacentral:rRNA from 1 species
CCCUAAGGCGAGGCCGAAAGGCGUAGUCGAUGGGAAACGGGUUAAUAUUCCCGUACUUCUUACAAUUGCGAUGGGGGGACGGAGAAGGCUAGGUGGGCCUGGCGACGGUUGUCCAGGUUCAAGUGCGUAGGCUUAAGAGUUAGGUAAAUCCGGCUCUUUUUAAGGCUGAGACACGACGUCGAGCACCUACGGGUGUGAAGUCAUUGAUGCCAUGCUUCCAGGAAAAGCCUCUAAGCUUCAGAUUGUAAGGAAUCGUACCCCAAACCGACACAGGUGGUCGGGUAGAGAAUACCAAGGCGCUUGAGAGAACUCGGGUGAAGGAACUAGGCAAAAUGGUACCGUAACUUCGGGAGAAGGUACGCUCUCGACGGUGAAGUCCCUCGCGGAUGGAGCUAUUGAGAGUCGCAGAUACCAGGUGGCUGCAACUGUUUAUUAAAAACACAGCACUGUGCAA